AGGUCAUUCAAAACUCGAAUGAACUUCUUCAUCAAAAUAGAAAUCUUUAUAGGGACAAUUUUGUGCCUCGUGUGCAAGCUCAACAGAGCAUUGGAAGCAACCUUGUUCUCUGCCACACUCUGCCGGCUGCUAAUGGAGUCUAAUCUUUGUCAUGUCUCAGAAUUAGUGCAUACUUUUAAAAUAUGAUGAUAUUCUUUCUAUCGUAAUUGUUGUUUCUGCUCACAGGGGCAAAACAACCUUAGAUGCCAUUAUUCAUUUAUUAUACACCUUUCCCUCUCUAGGACUCCCAUUAUAAUUAAAAACUGAUAAUAGUCCUUUUUAUUACUAGCAAAUAUGUUAAAGAAUUUUAGAAUUUAUAGGCUAUUAAUCAUUUACAAGAAUCCCUUACAUUCCAUUGGUCAACACCAUCAAGUAUUUAAACGGCAAAUAGGGUAUAAAUGCCGCCUAAGUAGCCAUGCUAAUUUGAAAAUUUUCAUUUUAAAGGAUUAUGAUUCUACUGCAUUUCCAAAGCAUUUGCCCUAAAGGACAUACAGCCUGACAUGUAUGUUAAAUGAAAGAUCUAGAAAGUCAUCGGUAGAAAGGGCUGAUGUUCACCUAACAUCAGGGCGAGGUUAUGCUUGUGUCUUUCUAGAAAGUGAAUGCAGUCCCAGGUGGCUCCCUUUCUGAUGACUCUGACCAGGAGAGCUCCCCAGAGUCCACUGGACAGACGAAGCUUCUGAAGGUAGAUGGCAAACCCCUCAGGAAAAGACGUCCCAAGAGGAAGAGGAAGCCAGUAACUUGGGGAGACAUCAAGAAUUUAACUUAUCAAGCAGAGACCUUGGGGAAACAACAAGGAUAUAAUACUAAUGACCCAAAAAUGAUGCUGUUGUGUUUAAUAACUAUAUUACAUGUUAAUUCUCAGCAUGACCACUCAGAUCCCAAUUGACUUGUUGGAGAGAUAAAGGUAUAACUGUGAUAAAUAGUGUAAUGUUGUUCUGCCAUGCUAAGGAUUUUUUUUUUUUAUUAUUCCUUUGGGACCAGUUGUUUGGACAGAGGAUGGUAUGCAAAUAUUUCCUUGCACAUUUUGGUGGGACUUAGCUAAUUGAUCAGUUCACAUCAGUAAUAACAGUUUUUAGCAUAACUAAGUACUCUUUUAAAGCUCUGAUAAUGGGAACUAAAGUUAUGUAAAGAUUAAAAGAGGAAUUUUUUUGUAUUGCUUACUAAAGUUGCUAUUAUUGUACCUACAAUGGCACAACCUGUUACCAGUGGUUUAGAAAAUAACCUCUGGCUUCAUGUGCCACAUGACUGUCAACAAGACCAGUCUGUGUAUCAGAAGAGACACCAGUCUAUUCCUAAGUUUUUUUCCUUAAGACUUAUUUAUUACAUAUACAGUGUUUCGCUUGCAUGUGUGCCUAAAAGCCAGAAAAGAGCAUCAGAUCCCAUUACAGAUGGUUGUGAGCCACCAUGUGGUUGCUGGGAAUUGAACUUGGGGCCUCUGGAAAAGCAGCCCCUGCUCUUAACCUCUGAGCCAUCUCUCCAGCUCCUACUCCUGGACUCUUGUCAAUGGUAUUCUGGUAUGUGGGGCUUUAAUGAGCCAGGCUUUUCUCAUACUAUCUAUGGUCAGAUUAAUGAUAUGCAUAAAGAGAGAAAAUCUUGCAGGUACCUUUGAGUGGCCAUCAUAAAGAUGGCUUUCCUCUUUCUUUGGUCCUCUGUAAGCUGUUUUAUAAUUCUGCUAUGCUUGCCUGUAUUAGACUAGCCAUGUGGACAGUGCAUUCAACCUUGGCCACAAUUUUCUUCUUAAAAAGUAAAAAAGCAGGGAGCUAUGGGGGCACUAGUGGAACCAGGAAUGUUAAGCACACAGGGUUGUCUCCUCUAAGGAGGAGAUGGACGGCCUGUUUUCCUCCCAGAAGACUGGGAGCAGGUGUGCUUAAUAACCUGGUGACCUUUGUGCUGUCUGUGUGGCCAAGACCACACUGGAGUCUCCCCCAGACACUUACAGUGAACUUGUCAAUAUGUAGACUUCGCCUUUAUGGAAAAUGUCAUGUGUAUUUUUACAAAGUGUUUUUAUGUAGUCCUGUCUUAAGCGUCAUUGUGCAUGUGGGACUGAGUUAUUUAUUGCCAGGAAAUUUUUCACCGAAUUGUGCUGUGCUUAAAGACGCCUAAACUAUUUAGAGUCAGACUCUGAAACCAGCUACCCAGUCAUGUUGAACUGAGCUGCCUUGCCCCUUGCAGAUCGCCACUUGUCGCUUCUGCACGGGGCAAACAAGCCAUGGGUACUGGAUGAGCCACUCAGAAAACCAAUAAACAUAUCCUAUGGGCUAUACCUAGGAGAGGCAUAAAAGCAUAUUCCAAGAACAGUUCUAUGUUUUUGAAUAAUGGAGAUCACAAGACUUGGUUUCUUGGAGUUUUCUCAUAAGCACUCAGAAGUUUCACGUGAUUCCAUUCUUGCAUCCUGGUCUAAUAUCUUCCCUGUUAUGUGGGUUUUUAACCCAAGGCAUCCAGACUAGUUUUGUUUUGAGAUGUUGUUGAUAAAGCUAAUUACCAUUUGAUGCAUGUGUAUCCUAUAAGUAUACAAAUGAUCAAUACAAUACCCUUAGAACAGUGAAAGCACUGUGUGUGAUACAUCUCCACUAAGAUAAGUGACCCAAACUGUGUCCAGCACUAUCAAUGUCUAGUGCAUGGGGACCCUGGAUAGGUCACAGUGAUGAGGACACAGGAUGCAGAGUAACCGUGAACCACUGCAUUCCUUAUUGAAUGUUCCAGCAUCUUUUAUAGGCAAGCAGAAUAAAGAUUUCUUGAAGCUUAGCAGCUUCUGUUUCUUAGGCCGUAGGUAAUCUAGGUUCAAGGUGAGCAAACCUUGCAGACUGAGGACUCUGUCAGCAGUCCAACUCUUUUAAGUGUUGCUUAGUUUGAUUAAAAUGAAAGGUUUUUCUCAUGAGAAGAUCAUGAAGGCCACUUCUCCAGGCAAGCCGCUUACUUUGCAGACACCGGGACUCUUCGCUGAGAAAGUGGCUUUCUCAGAGUCCCAGUGCGCUGUCCUUACAUCACCUAGCAGGCUGGAGCACUCACCUCGUGCUAGUUCUCCAUCAUUUUUAUUUUUUAAUUUAGCUUCUAAAUGUUUUUGCCAUGAUGUACGUGUUUGUGAAGUGUGUUUAUGAAAGCAACACUUGUAAAUAGCCGAUCCAACAGUGCUAAUUAAAACAGUGCUAAUAAGUAAAGCAACCCUGUCCCUCCGGCCUCGUGAGUCACGCUCUGUAUUAGAGUUUUAGGAUCUGUGCCAGUUUAUCGGCUAAUAUUUGAGCAAUAUCAGGUACAUCAUCAUAUGAAAAUUAUUUUUUGAAUGUGUCUAGCACUUGGUGGUGUAACUGUUCAAUAUCCUUUCUAAUAGUAGAAUUUCCUUUCAAAUAUUGUUGGAUCUUAUUCCAAUCCUGAUGGCUGGCAUUAUAUUGAAAAUUAGUAACGUAAAAUGUAGUAGAAUUCCAUUCACAAUUUAACUGCAACUGUUGUUGCACACUCAAAUAUUUUUGACCUAACAAGAUACAGGUUGCUUUAAUGCAUCUACUUCUGUCUGCAACCUUGCGUCGAUGUCCCUCUGAGGAACCCACAAUUCAUGAGCGUACUUAUGCCAUUGUUCUACAGAAGGUUUAGUGUGGAAAGAACUAUGCAAAGCCACCCCAGCUACUGAGCCUGUGGACUCAGCAAUAAGACUUAAAAUUCCAGCAACGAUUCCUAACUUACGCUUUGUUCUUUUUUUAUCUCUCCAUGAGCUGUUAUUAAUCCACAUGGUUUAAAUACUUCUGGUAAAACUUGUAAAAGAUUUCUAGUUCUGCCAUGCUAAGUCCUGC
rnacentral:lncRNA from 1 species